rnacentral:rRNA from 1 species
AUUGAACGCUGGCGGCAUGCCUUACACAUGCAAGUCGAACAGCAGCGCGGGGGCAACCCUGGCGGCGAGUGGCGAACGGGUGAGUAAUAUAUCGGAACGUGCCCUGGAGUGGGGGAUAACUAGUCGAAAGACUAGCUAAUACCGCCUACGAUCUACGGAUGAAAGUGGGGGAUCGCAAGACCUCAUGCCCGUGGAGCGGCCGAUAUCUGAUUAGCUAGUUGGUGGGGUAAAAGCCUACAAAGGCGACGAUCAGUAGCUGGUCUGAGAGGACGACCAGCCACACUGGGACUGAGACACGGCCCAGACUCCUACGGGAGGCAGCAGUGGGGAAUUUUGGACAAUGGGGGCAACCCUGAUCCAGCAAUGCCGCGUGUGUGAAGAAGGCCUUCGGGUUGUAAAGCACUUUUGUCAGGAACGAAACGGCUGGGGCUAAUAUCCUCGGCUAAUGACGGUACCUGAAGAAUAAGCACCGGCUAACUACGUGCCAGCAGCCGCCGUAAAAC